GACGUGAAAGAGUUAGAGCGAUCUGAAAACAAAGGUAUUUAUAUUUUUACAUACUUUUCGAUUUGUCUGGGACACUCUUUCUCUGUACACACGCACAUAUUCGAACAUACACGCGCGCUCUCGUACAUAUAUACGUAUAUAUAUACAUAUUUGUAUCUGUAUACAUAAAAUCUCCGUCGUUUAAGGCUGAUCAUGGUACUGUAGAAUGUUGUCUAUAAAUACAAGUCGCCUCUCUCCCUCACAUUGAUGUUAACACAAAAGAAGCCCAGCUAUCUUGGGAUGGAAAAGUUUUGUUGGAGAUGUUAGAAUACAAGUUAUGAUAACGAAAGUCCAAGAUUUCUGCAAUUUCUAUUCUUGCCAUUCCUUACAUAUCAAAAGGAACAUCCCAUAGAGCUUGCCAUGAUGUAUCUGUAUUAUUGUGAUUGACCCAGAACACGACAAACGCGACUCAAUGUAGUAAAGCUAGAUGAAAUGCUGCUCAGCAUUUCACUCGGCGUGCUAACGAUUCUACUUGUUCAUCGCCUCGUAUUCAUUAUAUAUUUAUCUAUUAUAUUCAACUGAAAGAAUAUUGAAUUACAAUAGUCACCAUAUAUCGUACUUAAUGUUAGUGUAACGUAGAAUAGAAAUUUACGGCGCUAGUUGUCAUAGGUAACAUAUAUAAUGGAUGUGUUGUGUAUAAAAUCACAAUAUAUGUAAUGAAAGGAGAUGAAACUUGUUUCAGCAGUGGUUAGUAAGAACACCAGAUGCAUUUCAGCCUCAUUGAACCAUAUCAAUGAUGUGUACAUACAGACAGUAACAUGCUUAGACAAUGCUUGUCGUCUCCGAUAUGAAGAAAAUGGUGCAUAAAUGUUCACUUGUACUUCGAUUAGUUGCCCGCCGGAAUGAUAACCCAUUAUAUGCAAUAGAAAUAAUAUUAAAUUAAAAUAACCCUCUAUGUAUCAUACUGUUACGGAACGGACUGGAAUCGCCCGUCGUCGCCCGUCCCGAACGGCUCGCACACUAGUUCCGCCACGGAACCCAAAGAGGCGGAGAGAGGAGAUACAGAUAGAUACUGCCACAACCUCAACAGCACAGAGAUACAGAGGCACAACCCGAGAUACAACCCAAAGAGGCAAGGCAACAACUGGCAACACUGGCUUAUAUUCAAACAACAGUUUAUACGGCAAUUACAAUGUUACAACAUCAAGAUACAUCAAAGCAUGCACGUGACUACUCAAUACAUAAUACAACAUCAUGUAACAAUAUAUCAGUCCGGAGACGCAACAAGUCAUAUACAGUAUUUCAAAAGUACACGUCCGAAGACACAGUUCUCUAAAGUCUCUUUUUCUAAACAUCACAAAUAACAAGUCCUUUACUCUUCUUCUUCACAAUGUCCUUUAUCGACCACAUCGACAGAGUCCUUGACUGUUCAAUACACAAAUCACAUACCUCAGUUCCUAAUUGAAUCUGCCAGUGUCCCAUUCCUCUCAAUACUGCUAAUUCCUCUGAAUACUGCUAAUUCCCUUCUGUGCCGCCAAGCUUUCUCGCAUCCAACUUGCUCCUAAGAAUUCCAACGCUUGUCCCUUAAAUCCAAGGUUCCAUCCACUCGCUCUGACCUCCAGAGUCCGUCCGUGUUCCUCGACGACCGCUCAACGACUGCCCAGAACCUCACUUCCUUGUCCUGACUUCCACUCCCUCAUCUCCCUCUGUCUAUAUCGCUCCUACCCUUUCUAACUGCUCUCUGAUUCCUUACUCUAUCUAUAUCGCCUCAAUCCCUUAGCCUCUCUAUCUGUCCCUUACUGCUUAUCCUUUCUAUUUGCCCUCUGCUCUUACUCUAUCGCUAUCGCCUGCCAGACUCUUAGCCUCUCCAUCCGUCCCUUACUGCUUAUACUCUAUCUCUAUUUGCUCUCAGCCCUUAAUCUGUCCCUUUUCUUUCACAUUCUCCUGACCCUCUUCUCAACCGCACGAGGUCACAGGUCAUUCCAAAACCCAUUAGUCCUCCAUUAGACAAAAGACUGUCACAUUUUCACCAGACAUACUGGAACCAUAUCCACGAUGUGGGUCACCAGAAACACUACACUAAUUAAACCCGAAAUGCACUUAGCCAACCGUAACAAUACAUAAUAUAAAUAUACAGUUGAAGGGAAAAUAACAGCGCUAUUCUUCCCACAAAUAGCAUGUAUUAUAUAAGUGUUGUGUUUGAAACACAACGUAUAUCGUAAAGAGACAAAAAUCAUAUGUGCAGUGUGUAGCAAGUACGCCAGAUUCGGGCGCCUAUACUUAUGCUAACGAAUAUUUAUUGCUUGUUUCCAGUAUAUCAUGUGCACAAAUCUCGUCUGCGUAUUUGACAGUCAGUGAGCAAAGGCCACUAAGGCCGAUACGUACGCAUGUAUGCAUGUAUGUAAGCAUGCAUGCGAUUAUGUAUGGAUGUAGGUUUUCAUGCCUCUCUCUAUUUAUUAAGUGACUGUUUUUACCGGUUCGAACCAAUUUAUAGUUAGGCAUCAUCGCACAACAUACUGAGGCACAUUAUAUUUGAUUACACCGUCAGAGGCCACGUUCACAAUGGGCAAUGGAGUGAACCAUAUAGUUAUUGUUCUUCUGCGUCACUUGUGGUGAUCGCCAACUUCUCACUCAUAUCUAUGAUUGGUAGUAAUACAUCAACACACAAACGCAAACACGCACACGCACAUACACUCAUACACACACAUACACUCACACACACACAAAAGGUAAAUAAAUAAAUAGAUGUAACUUUACACAGCAAAACAUAUUAUAUGUUCUACUAUGAUAUAUUGUGGCAUUAGAAGAUAAGCGAAAAUUAAUUAAAUUAUUUUGCCUCUAGACUCAUUCAAAUAUGUUCUUUCAAUAAUAUUCUUUUUCUUUCUUUCAGAAUUCCGCCAACAUUUUACCCAUUCGUAUCAUGGAAGGUCUGAAAUAUAUUUUAAUAAUUUCUCUAUUAAAAACUCUUGUCCAUGCAGAAGACCCGAUAAUUGAAACUACCAGCGGAAAGAUUAAUGGAUCAACAGUUGUAGUUCAGAAUGUUGAGCUUGAUGUAUUUCUUGGAAUACCAUUUGCGAAACCUCCUGUUGGUAAUCUAAGAUUUAGAAGACCUGAAAAAAUUGAACGGUGGAGUGGUAUAAAAGAAACGAAGGAACAUGUUGCGGCGUG
rnacentral:lncRNA from 1 species